GUAGGUGGCAAGCGUUGUCCGGAAUUAUUGGGCGUAAAGCGCGCGCAGGCGGUUCUUUAAGUCUGAUGUGAAAGCCCACGGCUCAACCGUGGAGGGUCAUUGGAAACUGGAGAACUUGAGUACAGAAGAGGAAAGCGGAAUUCCACGUGUAGCGGUGAAAUGCGUAGAGAUGUGGAGGAACACCAGUGGCGAAGGCGGCUUUCUGGUCUGUAACUGACGCUGAGGCGCGAAAGCGUGGGGGAGCAAACAGGAUUAGAUACCCUGGUAGUCCACGCCGUAAACGAUGAGUGAUAAGUGUUAGGGGGUUUCCGCCCCUUAGUGCUGCAGCUAACGCAUUAAGCACUCCGCCUGGGAGUACGGCCGCAAGGCUG
rnacentral:rRNA from 1 species